rnacentral:rRNA from 1 species
GACGAACGCUGGCGGCGUGCUUAACACAUGCAAGUCGAACGGAAAGGCCCUGCUUUUGUGGGGUGCUCGAGUGGCGAACGGGUGAGUAACACGUGAGUAACCUGCCCUUGACUUUGGGAUAACUUCAGGAAACUGGGGCUAAUACCGGAUAGGAGCUCCUGCUGCAUGUUGGGGGUUGGAAAGUUUCGGCGGUUGGGGAUGGACUCGCGGCUUAUCAGCUUGUUGGUGGGGUAGUGGCUUACCAAGGCUUUGACGGGUAGCCGGCCUGAGAGGGUGACCGGCAACAAGGGGACUGAGGUACGCACCAGAAGCGAACGGGAGGCAGCGGGGGGGAGUAUUGCAGAAUGGGCGGAAGCCUGAGGCAGCAACGCCGGGUGCGGGAUGACGGCCUUCGGGUGGAAAACCGCUUUCGACGGUGACGAAGCGGGAGUGACGGUAAUGGGUAAAGAAGCACCGGCUAACUACGUG